rnacentral:sRNA from 1 species
GGCCGUAUUAGUUCGAUCGGGAUACUCAUCAAUAAAAAAACGAAAACCGAGAUGACUUCUUUUGCUGAUGGCGGGCCACAUUGCCGUAAGGCAUAGCUGUAAAGCCGGUGGAUUACAAAGGCGGAG